rnacentral:rRNA from 1 species
UACAGAGGUGGCAAGCGUUGUUCGGAUUUAUUGGGCGUAAAGGGUCCGUAGGCGGUUUGGAAAGUCAGAUGUGAAAGCCCACAGCUCAACUGUGGAACUGCAUUUGAAACUUCCAGACUAGAGUGUGAGAGGGGUAAAAGGAAUUCCCGGUGUAAGGGUGAAAUCUGCAGAGAUCGGGAGGAACACCAGUCGCGAAGGCGUUUUACUGGCUCACAACUGACGCUCAGGGACGAAAGCUAGGGUAGCAAACGGG